rnacentral:rRNA from 1 species
UUUGAUCAUGGCUCAGGACGAACGCUGGCGGCGUGCCUAAUACAUGCAAGUAGAACGCUGAAGAGAGGAGCUUGCUCUUCUUGGAUGAGUUGCGAACGGGUGAGUAACGCGUAGGUAACCUGCCUUGUAGCGGGGGAUAACUAUUGGAAACGAUAGCUAAUACCGCAUAACAAUGGAUGACACAUGUCAUUUAUUUGAAAGGGGCAAUUGCUCCACUACAAGAUGGACCUGCGUUGUAUUAGCUAGUAGGUGAGGUAACGGCUCACCUAGGCGACGAUACAUAGCCGACCUGAGAGGGUGAUCGGCCACACUGGGACUGAGACACGGCCCAGACUCCUACGGGAGGCAGCAGUAGGGAAUCUUCGGCAAUGGGGGCAACCCUGACCGAGCAACGCCGCGUGAGUGAAGAAGGUUUUCGGAUCGUAAAGCUCUGUUGUAAGUCAAGAACGAGUGUGAGAGUGGAAAGUUCACACUGUGACGGUAGCUUACCAGAAAGGGACGGCUAACUACGUGCCAGCAGCCGCGGUAAUACGUAGGUCCCGAGCGUUGUCCGGAUUUAUUGGGCGUAAAGCGAGCGCAGGCGGUUUGAUAAGUCUGAAGUUAAAGGCUGUGGCUCAACCAUAGUUCGCUUUGGAAACUGUCAAACUUGAGUGCAGAAGGGGAGAGUGGAAUUCCACGUGUAGCGGUGAAAUGCGUAGAUAUAUGGAGGAACACCGGUGGCGAAAGCGGCUCUCUGGUCUGUAACUGACGCUGAGGCUCGAAAGCGUGGGGAGCGAACAGGAUUAGAUACCCUGGUAGUCCACGCCGUAAACGAUGAGUGCUAGGUGUUGGAUCCUUUCCGGGAUUCAGUGCCGCAGCUAACGCAUUAAGCACUCCGCCUGGGGAGUACGACCGCAAGGUUGAAACUCAAAGGAAUUGACGGGGGCCCGCACAAGCGGUGGAGCAUGUGGUUUAAUUCGAAGCAACGCGAAGAACCUUACCAGGUCUUGACAUCCCGAUGCUAUUUCUAGAGAUAGAAAGUUACUUCGGUACAUCGGUGACAGGUGGUGCAUGGUUGUCGUCAGCUCGUGUCGUGAGAUGUUGGGUUAAGUCCCGCAACGAGCGCAACCCCUAUUGUUAGUUGCCAUCAUUCAGUUGGGCACUCUAGCGAGACUGCCGGUAAUAAACCGGAGGAAGGUGGGGAUGACGUCAAAUCAUCAUGCCCCUUAUGACCUGGGCUACACACGUGCUACAAUGGUUGGUACAACGAGUUGCGAGUCGGUGACGGCAAGCUAAUCUCUUAAAGCCAAUCUCAGUUCGGAUUGUAGGCUGCAACUCGCCUACAUGAAGUCGGAAUCGCUAGUAAUCGCGGAUCAGCACGCCGCGGUGAAUACGUUCCCGGGCCUUGUACACACCGCCCGUC